AAGACUAUACUUUCAGGGAUCAUUUCUAUAGUUCGUUACUAGAGAAGCUUCUCUGAACGUGUAGAGCACCGAAAGCCACGAGGAGGAGACGUAGCGUUCUCUCCUGAGCGUGAAGCCGGCGUUUGGUGUUGCUUCCGUGCAACUGCCAUUGGCCAUUGAUGAUCGUUCUUCUCUCCACUGUGGAGAGUAAGAGGGAGAGAACGCGGUCUGAGUGGUU
ensembl:snoRNA